CCUACGGGAGGCAGCAGUAAGGAAUAUUGGUCAAUGGACGCAAGUCUGAACCAGCCAUGCCGCGUGAAGGAUUAAGGUCCUCUGGAUUGUAAACUUCUUUUAUCUGGGACGAAAAAAGGCGAUUCUUCGUCACUUGACGGUACCAGAUGAAUAAGCACCGGCUAACUCCGUGCCAGCAGCCGCGGUAAUACGGAGGGUGCAAGCGUUAUCCGGAUUCACUGGGUUUAAAGGGUGCGUAGGCGGGCAGGUAAGUCAGUGGUGAAAUCCUAGAGCUUAACUCUAGAACUGCCAUUGAUACUAUCUGUCUUGAAUAUUGUGGAGGUAAGCGGAAUAUGUCAUGUAGCGGUGAAAUGCUUAGAUAUGACAUAGAACACCUAUUGCGAAGGCAGCUUACUACGCAUAUAUUGACGCUGAGGCACGAAAGCGUGGGGAUCAAACAGGAUUAGAUACCCUGGUAGUCCACGCCCUAAACCGAUGAUUACUCGACAUUUGUGAUACACUAUAAGUGUCUGAGCGAAAGCAUUAAGUAAUCCACCUGGGAAGUACGACCGCAAGGUUGAAACUCAAAGGAAUUGACGGCUUGAGACGNGCGAGGCGACACGAGGGAGGAGG
rnacentral:rRNA from 1 species